AUUGAACGCUGGCGGCAGGCCUAACACAUGCAAGUCGAACGAGUGGCGGACGGGUGAGUAAUGUCUGGGAAACUGCCCGAUGGAGGGGGAUAACUACUGGAAACGGUAGCUAAUACCGCAUACCAUCGGAUGUGCCCAGAUGGGAUUAGCUAGUAGGUGGGGUAACGGCUCACCUAGGCGACGUUCCCUAGCUGGUCUGAGAGGAUGACCAGCCACACUGGAACUGAGACACGGUCCGUAGUCCUACGGGAGGCAGCAGUGGGGAAUAUUGCACAAUGGGCGCAAGCCUGAUGCAGCCAUGCCGAGUGAAUGAAGAAGGCCUUCGGGUUGGAAAGUACUUUCAGCGAGGAGGCGUUACUCGCAGAAGAAGCACCGGCUAACUCCGUGACAGCAGCCGCGGUAAUAC
rnacentral:rRNA from 1 species